AGGUGGCUGGCUUCUCAAACUACGGGCUGGGGCCGUUCUCCUUCCCCAUUGUCUGCUCGACACUCCAAGACGUUCCCGACGCCCCAGCAGAAAUCAAGCUUCUAUCGCAAUCUUCAAACAUAUUACUGGUCAGCUGGAAAAAGCCACGACAACCGAAUGGCAGGCUGCUACAUUAUACAGUUUAUUGUAAACCCACUGCAAGCAACGACGGCCCCCAAACCCUUCGGAUAGACGCACAGCAAACGACUGAUGCUUAUGAGAAGACUCAAACAGUAGAACUGAAAGGGCUGAAUGAAGGCAGACAGUAUGACGUAUGGGUCACCGCCAGCACAAUCAUCGGUGAAGGACCUGAGAGCAGGAGAGUCACUAACACUCCUUCACAGAGAGUUGUGGCAGGCGUAGCGUCAUUAGGAGGAGAAGUGACUGUAGCUGUGAGGAACUCCCUCCUCCUAGAGUGCAAGAGUGUCGGCUCCCCCCCUCCUAGGACCGUGUGGUACCACAACCAGAACAUCAUCACCCACCACCCCAGGUUUACCAGAAACCGGGACGAUAGCUUGCUGAUUA